rnacentral:lncRNA from 1 species
AAAGCUUGUUCAAAAUCUGAUUACAUUAGCAAUUUCUCAAAUCCAUUGUAUUAGCUUUGUAAUUUGCUUCCAUGACCCACACAAUCUAUUGACACAGUGUCUUUUUUUUUUUUUUUUUUUUUUUUUUUUUUAAGGAGGAGAGAAAGACCAGUCUCUCUUUGGAAAAUACCAUCUUAAAAAAACUUGGAAACAACAGAUUUCUAGACUGGGCUGAAGGAGGAACCUGAGAACUGCCAGGUGAGACCUGACCAUCAGCUUCAGGGGGAAGGAACCUGGUUUAUCAAACUCACUGCUACGUCUAAGUGCAACCAGCAACACAAGUCUACUAUUAGCUGGAAAUAAUAAACUGCUCAAUGAAACCAAAAUUAUGAAGGCCCAGCCAGGAAACUCUCAAACACUCAUGUUUACAGCACACCUGUGUUUGGCCUCCCAGCUGCCAUGAGUAUAGCAGAAAAGUAGAAUCCAAGAAGUGGUUGAAGGAGGUCAAACCAGGACCACACCUUCCUUUUCAGGUAUAUGAAAUACUUUCCAGCUUUUAUGCAAAAAUUAAUUUGCCACCAUUGAAUGGGAUUACAAUUCAGUAGAUUUUAUCAUUUGACUUUCCUCUUGGACCAAUUCUUCUAAAAACAGGGAGCUUGUAAAUGAUACCUGAUGGAUAUCAAGUAAGAUUUUACUCAAAGGCAGCCUCAACUAUGUCAGGUAUGUAUCUGGUCCAGCAGUCAAAAUAGAAUAAAUGCUUCAUAAAAAAAUAGCA